UACGAAGGGGGCUAGCGUUGCUCGGAAUGACUGGGCGUAAAGGGCGCGUAGGCGGCUUGUAUAGUCGGAUGUGAAAUUCCUGGGCUUAACCUGGGGGCUGCAUACGAGACGUAUGGGCUUGAGUGCGGAAGAGGGUCGUGGAAUUCCCAGUGUAGAGGUGAAAUUCGUAGAUAUUCGGAAGAACACCAGUGGCGAAGGCGGCUCACUGGACGACUGUUGACGCUGAGGUACGAAAGCGUGGGGAGCAAACAGG
rnacentral:rRNA from 1 species